GAGAGAUACCAAGCUUGAAAAGUUGAAGACAUUGCCAAGCUAGAAAAAGCAAGAGGAGUCAAAAUUCCAGAACAGCAUUAACCCCUUAAGGACCGGGGGGUUUUCAGGCCUGGAUCUCAGUCAUUCGGCGAUCGGACAGUGAGGAGGCAGGUUUCUCCAUAAACUUAUAUCCAGAACGCUGUCUGUAAGGUGCGGGGUGAACCGGAAGUGGUCACCGCGACACCGGAAGUGCUCACGGCAUCUGCUGCGCAGACUGCAGGCGUAUUGAACAACAUACUCACUGGGGCGCUUGCCUGACGUAUUUGGGAUGCACAUUGAGACGAGAAUUGUAAGUGGACCUGAGGAAGGCAUGAAUGCCGAAACGCGUUAUCACUAUUACAAAAAUAAAAUCAUUUGUCGUCCUGUGCUGCUCGUGUCUUGCCUCAUUG